UACAGAGGUCUCAAGCGUUGUUCGGAAUUACUGGGCGUAAAGGGCGCGUAGGCGGUGCACUAAGUCAGGCGUGAAAGCCCUGGGCUCAACCCGGGAAUUGCGCUUGAUACUGGUGCGCUUGAAUCCAGGAGAGGUUGGUGGAAUUCCCAGUGUAGAGGUGAAAUUCGUAGAGAUUGGGAAGAACACCGGUGGCGAAGGCGGCCAACUGGACUGGUAUUGACGCUGAGGCGCGAAAGCGUGGGGAGCAAACAGG
rnacentral:rRNA from 1 species